rnacentral:lncRNA from 13 species
ACUAUACCAGGACAACUAUACCAGAACAACUAUACCAGGACAACUAUACCAGAACAACUAUACCAGGACAACAAUACCAGGACAACUAUACCAGGACAACUAUACCAGCACAACUAUACCAGGACAACUAUACCAGGACAACUAUACCAGGACAACUAUACCAGCGUCAUUCAUGGAAAGUCGUCACAAGGACUGUGUACUCUCGUAAUUUAAGCUCGUUAAUCCUUAAGAGUCUAUUGACGCCCCCGUGCGCAACAUAAUGAAGAAAUCCCCAUCAAAAUCUUUGUUUAAGCUAGAGAUAUAAAGUUUUUUACCGGGGCUGCUUCUCUGCGGUGGAAAGUGGCUGAGCUACAGCUGUGUUUGUCAGAACAGGAGAGACAUCCCCAAAAAAUUGGUCUUCUCAUGAGAACGUCUGAACGGUUUGGCCUGCAAACAACACUGAACAAAAUCUACGGCAUUGUAUCGUGUGACAAAACUGCACAUUUUAGAGUGGCCUUUUAUUGUCCCCAGCACAAGGUGCACCUGUGUAAGCUUCUUGAUAUGCCACACCUGUCAGGUGGAUGGAUUAUAUUGAUAAAGGAUAAAAUGCUCACUAACAGGGAUUUAAACAAACGUGUGCACAACAUUUGUGAUAAAUAGUAUUUUUGAGCGUCUGGAAAAUUUCAGUGAUCUUUUAUUUCAGCUCAUGGAACAUGGGACCAGCAUUUUACAUGUUGCGUUUUUCAUAUUUUCGUUCAGUGUAUAAUUAAAAGAAAAUGUUACAUUUUUAGUUGUAAAACUAUAAUAUUCUACAGAACAAAAUAGUAUUCCAAUUGCUCACAUGAGAAUAACAUUACAAUUAUAUACAGUACCACUGUUACGUGGGGAUAUUUUCUCCCUUCAAAACGUGCCAUGUGUCAACAGCUCUUUUGUUCAGUCUACUGUUCAAGCUGGUGAAACUUACCAUAUCAAGGUCCUAUGUAACACUGGCAGCAAUGUGACACUGUUACAAUGUAACACUGGCAGCAAUGUGAAGAGGUCCAAUGUAACACUGUUAACGGCAGAUAUAGUGUCACUUAUCAUCUUCUUUUUGGGGCGGGGGAUGCUCUGCUCUGCUCUGCUCUGCAGCCCCAGCCAACACGGCAGGAGUGAUUUACAGUGUAUUAACAUUGAAGAUGAUUUUGGUUCGCUUGAAUAGGCCUAAUCGUUAGUGUCUCCAGAAGACUUUAAGGCUAAAGACUACAGUUGGUCAGUUAAUCCUAUAAGGACACAUGGUGGCGCUAUUGUAAAAAACUGUACAAAUAGUAUUUUGCUCAAUGGUCCAUAGUCUCAUUGCCAAUAUCUGAUGAUAUACUCCUUGAUUCAUAGUUGUGUUCUUCUCAAAGAACACAUUUGAAAAAAUGACUCAAAAUAAAGCCUCUACAUAUUUCCCUGAUCUUCGGUAUUGUGAGAAAUUGGCCGACUUGAAAUGAUCUGAUCAGAUUUGGGCAAGUCAGACAGGCUUAAAUGUUAGAAUUUGGGUUUACAAAACUGAAAAAAUAAGAUUCUGACCCUCUGGAUAGGGAUUUGGUAAUUUGACAUUCAAGCCUGAUUGAAAGGUCGUUUUUUUCUGUUUUUCAAAACUCAAAAGGUAGUGAUUAGGAUAGUUUUGAUGCNNNNNNNNNNAACUAUACCAGGACAACUAUACCAGAACAACUAUACCAGGACAACUAUACCAGAACAACUAUACCAGGACAACAAUACCAGGACAACUAUACCAGGACAACUAUACCAGCACAACUAUACCAGGACAACUAUACCAGGACAACUAUACCAGGACAACUAUACCAGCGUCAUUCAUGGAAAGUCGUCACAAGGACUGUGUACUCUCGUAAUUUAAGCUCGUUAAUCCUUAAGAGUCUAUUGACGCCCCCGUGCGCAACAUAAUGAAGAAAUCCCCAUCAAAAUCUUUGUUUAAGCUAGAGAUAUAAAGUUUUUUACCGGGGCUGCUUCUCUGCGGUGGAAAGUGGCUGAGCUACAGCUGUGUUUGUCAGAACAGGAGAGACAUCCCCAAAAAAUUGGUCUUCUCAUGAGAACGUCUGAACGGUUUGGCCUGCAAACAACACUGAACAAAAUCUACGGCAUUGUAUCGUGUGACAAAACUGCACAUUUUAGAGUGGCCUUUUAUUGUCCCCAGCACAAGGUGCACCUGUGUAAGCUUCUUGAUAUGCCACACCUGUCAGGUGGAUGGAUUAUAUUGAUAAAGGAUAAAAUGCUCACUAACAGGGAUUUAAACAAACGUGUGCACAACAUUUGUGAUAAAUAGUAUUUUUGAGCGUCUGGAAAAUUUCAGUGAUCUUUUAUUUCAGCUCAUGGAACAUGGGACCAGCAUUUUACAUGUUGCGUUUUUCAUAUUUUCGUUCAGUGUAUAAUUAAAAGAAAAUGUUACAUUUUUAGUUGUAAAACUAUAAUAUUCUACAGAACAAAAUAGUAUUCCAAUUGCUCACAUGAGAAUAACAUUACAAUUAUAUACAGUACCACUGUUACGUGGGGAUAUUUUCUCCCUUCAAAACGUGCCAUGUGUCAACAGCUCUUUUGUUCAGUCUACUGUUCAAGCUGGUGAAACUUACCAUAUCAAGGUCCUAUGUAACACUGGCAGCAAUGUGAAGGGGUCCAAUGUAACACUGGCAGCAAUGUGACACUGUUACAAUGUAACACUGGCAGCAAUGUGAAGGGGU